AGUGAACGCUGGCGGUAGGCCUAACACAUGCAAGUCGAGCGGCAGCACAGUAAGAGCUUGCUCUUACGGGUGGCGAGUGGCGGACGGGUGAGGAAUACAUCGCAAUCUACUUUUUCGUGGGGGAUAACGUAGGGAAACUUACGAUAAUACCGCAUACGACCUACGGGUGAAAGCAGGGGAUCUUCGGACCUUGCGCGAUUGAAUGAGCCGAUGUCGGAUUAGCUAGUUGGCGGGGUAAAGGCCCACCAAGGCGACGAUCCGUAGCUGGUCUGAGAGGAUGAUCAGCCACACUGGAACUGAGACACGGUCCAGACUCCUACGGGAGGCAGCAGUGGGGAAUAUUCGACAAUGGGCGCAAGCCUGAUCCAGCCAUACCGCGUGGGUGAAGAAGGCCUUCGGGUUGUAAAGCCCUUUUGUUGGGAAAGAAAAGCAGCAGGUUAAUCCCCCGCUGUUCUGACGGUACCCAAAGAAUAAGCCCCGGCUAACUUCGUG
rnacentral:rRNA from 1 species